UUGAUGCUAAUGAAAUAGAGUCAAUUGAUAUCUUAAGUGUCAAUGCUUUCUUUAUAAUUAUGUGGUUACUUGGUCAAAUGGCUAUUUGGAAUUUCUUGUUCUUGCGCCGAGCUUUACCUUUAACAAAGCAAGAAU
rnacentral:sRNA from 1 species